rnacentral:rRNA from 1 species
ACUCCUACGGAAGGCAGCAGUGGGGAAUAUUGGACAAUGGGCGCAAGCCUGAUCCAGCCAUGCCGCGUGAGUGAUGACGGCCUUAGGGUUGUAAAGCUCUUUACCCGGGAAGAUAAUGACGGUACCGGGAGAAUAAGCCCCGGCUAACUUCGUGCCAGCAGCCGCGGUAAU